UUAAUACCAGGGCCUUGCAAGUGCUAUUUUAGACUCUUGUUCAUCUUUUAUUUUUGAAUAUCGUCAGCUUCCCAAUUUAGAAGCAAUGUUUCCCUCUAUUUUUACAGCGUUUAAAAAUGUUAUUGUGUCUCCAGCUCUGAAGAUGCCAGCCUGAGUUACAUCAGGCUCUCACCGACGCAAUACCACUAGCAACCAUUUAAACCCAACUUCUCUCAAAUUUUUGUGUAGCUGAAUAACUUUACAGGUAACAAACCAACAACAGACUUUAUCUUCUACUGGAAAGUAAAGUUCUUUCCUUCCUAGGAAAGCCAGAGGUUACAUUUCGGAGCUUACCAUUACGUUUACAGAGCCUAGCAAGGUCAGGUGCUCAGAUCUGGCUAAUGAUAACAUCAACAUUUCCAAAGAAUAUUUUCAUUUCCCAAAAAAGAAAACAGAUGUUUCUUGAGAUGAUCUGAGAAGCAGGCAAUGGAACUUCUGUUACAACACUGAUGCUGAACGUCUCUGAGCAAGCUAUGUAGCCCAGGCUGGCCCUGAACUCAUGGCAAUCCUCAUGCUCCAGCCUCCUAAGUGCUGGGAUUACAGGCAUGCACCACCACACCUGGCUGCAGCAUUUGUCUUAAUAAGAUGUGGAAGUCACAAAAGUGAAAAUUGGUAGGUAGUGACCAGCUUUCCUGAGCCACAAGUUUUGCCAAGCAGCUUCUGCCUUGGAGCCAAGUGACCACAAACUGAACUCAUCGAAACCCUGAAUCAAAGGAAAUCUCUCUUCCUGUAAAUUGUGGGUGUCAGGAAUCUGGCAACUGAAUUACAUGCACGUUUCCCGAGUCACCAUGCUAUGGCCAUACCACCCUGCACACGUCCGAUCUCAUCUGAGUUACCAUGCUAAGUGAAGAACAGUAUCUUUGAUGAAACGGAAUAACUGAUUUCUCUAACCACAACCAAACACGUUUGCCCAUUUCCAUCUGGCACAAAUAAAUGCUUGAGGAGAAACACCCGAGCUACAGAGGCUGAAGAGUAAUGAGACCCUGCUGUUACUCGAGGCUGUAGGCAGCUGCGAUGGACGAUGAAGGACACGGAGGCAGCCAGCUUACCGAUUGCUACGUCUGUUGUUGAAAAGACAGUUAGACUGCAGCUGUUCAUACAGCAUUUUGAUUUCUGCUAGUCCUGGUAAAAAUACAAGUACAGCACCUGGUUAUAUAAAAAGAAUAAGAUCAAUGAUAAAGGAAAAGUUAAUAUGGAUUUUAAAGCUACUUUAAACUAACAAACCUUACAAACAGAUUUUUAUUAGUCAACUCAAUUAGCCGCUUACUAUCAGUUUUCUUUGUAAAGUCCCAAAUGAUUUAAAUGAAUAAUACUUUGUUUGCCACACAUUUUGACUUAAUAAGGAGAAAAUAGAGAUUACUACCCUUCUGAAACACGAAGAUCUGAGGUAUGAAAAAGCACAAUGCUGGAGUCAAACAAAACUCAUUAGCUGAGCUCUUAAACAUUUCUUCAGUGCACUGGCCACUGACACUUUGUUUCUACAGAACACUAUCCUUCAAAACUUACCAAGUUAGAAGGUUCUUCUCUUAAUAAUUAAAUCCAUAAAGAUUUUAUUGAAAAUGAGAGAAAGAAACUGGCUGGUCAAUUGGGUAAUAUAAAUUCAGAUAUAUUUUAAAGAGGUGAUAUAUUAACUAACUACAUCAUAUUAGUAGUCUAUGGGCUUCACAAUUCUACAUUAAAGGAAAUUAGAAAUUCUAAUGGAUACUAGUGUAUUUGUGUGCCAAGAUCAGUCACUCAGCAAUAGUUACCUACUUUUGUGCUUUAUGCACAAAGAAAUUGAUAGCCUUUCUUCACUAGUUCCUUUCUAGCUCCACAAACACUUACUGGCUGCCUACAUCAGCUCUGUCCUAGUACAACAGGAUAUAAAACAAGGACCUACCCAUAAAGAGCACAUGGGCUAUUAUUUAAUCAGUUACUUUCUCCACUAAAUAAAUAAUGACUAUAACUUACUACAGAAUGGAACUCUACAGUAAAAGGGCUGACAGGAUCCUGAAGGAUUGUUAAUACUUCAUUCUAGACAACGUUCACACACUUUAUUCCAUUUGAUCCUCACGGUCAGUAAGAAGGGGAUCAGUUCCCUGACAAGUGACUCAGGAGCUUGGCCAGGUCACAGACUCAAACCUAGGAAAUUUUCCAGACUCCAAAGCCUCGGUUCUUAAUCCACUCCCUGCAGGCUCUGUAUACAGAGUCUACAUGUGAUUAAAUGCUCAGGUUAGCCAGGGAUCAUUCAGGCCUGAACAAAAAGCAGUUACCUGGAGGAUAGGAGUGCUUGCCAUCCACAAUCCACUCCAAUAAGGCUUCUAUUAAUUCAAGAUUGACCUUUUCAAAAUCCAUCAUGGACAUUGUUUUGAUGACUGAUUUGCUAAUUCCUGAAAGAAAGAUAAAAAUCAGAAGGAUAAUUCUAUCUAUUGAAGACAAUAGGCCUGUGAACUAGCCUUCAGUGGUUUCCCCAUGAAGUCCCUGAUGACGAAGCCUUCCUGACGGGCUCUGCACUGGGCUGCUCACAGGCUCCUGCUUGCCCUCACUUGGCGGGCUCCUCUCCACCGCUCAGCCUCCCAGCCUGCCUGGAAUCUCCUGACUUGGUUUCUCCUCCACCCUCACUUCCUUCAAGUCCACUGUAAAGGUUACUGUUGCAGGCUCUCGGAUGCUGAGCUGGAAGAGAACAGCACUCUCUCAGCCCCAUCUUCGCUUCGGGUGUUUGAGUGUUCACCGGGAAAAGCGCUACCCUACCUUUCUUCUGUUCUCUCAUGAACUUCAUC